GGGUGCGAUCAUACCGGCACUAAUGCACCGGAUCCUAUCAGAACUCCGAAGUUAAACGUGCUUGGGCGAGAGUAGUACUAAGAUGGUUGACCUCUUGGGAAGUCCUCGUGUUGCACCCUAGG
rnacentral:rRNA from 1 species